AACGAACGCCGGCGGCAUGCCUAACACAUGCAAGUCGAACGAGACCUUCGGGUCUAGUGGCGCACGGGUGCGUAACGCGUGGGAACCUGCCCUUAGGUUCGGCAUAACUCCCCGACAGGGGUGCUAAUACCGGAUAAUGUCUUCGGACCAAAGAUUUAUCGCCUUUGGAUGGGCCCGCGUUGGAUUAGCUAGUUGGUAGGGUAAAAGCAUACCAAGGCGACGAUCCAUAGCUGGUCUGAGAGGAUGAUCAGCCACACUGGGACUGAGACACGGCCCAGACUCCUACGGGAGGCAGCAGUGGGGAAUAGUGGAAAAUGGGCGAAAGGCUGAUCCAGCAAUGCCGCGUGAGUGAUGAAGGCCUUAGGGUUGUAAAGCUCUUUUAACCGGGAUGAUAAUGACAGUACCGGGAGAAUAAGCUCCGGCUAACUCCGUG
rnacentral:rRNA from 1 species